UCUUUUCAAUUCCCACUUCUCUCUCCCCUCACGCCGCCACCUCUAGCCACCGAUCUGCUCUCUCUCCCACACGCCGGAGUCACAAACCUAAUUUCUUCUCUGAAUUUUUGUGUUUCUUUGUUUUCUCCCACUUUCUCGUCGAUUUUCACCGCAUUUCUUUGAUUUUCCUUUUGCACAUUUCUCAGAAAACUCAAAAAUCGAAGGUCUCCUCUCAUCUCGACUCCAACACCGCUGAUUCCACUAGUUUGAUUACAGGCAAAAAUGGGCUUGGGGAGGGUAUUGUUGUCACUCUUUGGGGUAAGCCUUAGGUCAAUGCUGAACUUCCUAUGUCCCGAGCCACUGGUGAUGUGUACCAAAAGAGACUGUCAAGUACUUCAACAAUGAAGCUUUUGAAGCUGAUCAAUAUGAUGAGUACUUAAAAGACUGUUGGUGAUUCAUUUGCUCAGGUUCUUAAUGCAAGGGAAAGUUGGUGGCUAUGCAUUAGUCUUUGAGAAGUACCAUGAGAAGGCAGAAUCCUUUUUUUGAGACCCUUUAAGAUCUUGUCAUAAUUCUAGUUGCUUAAGUUUAAAACAAUAUUUUUAUGUCAUGGUUUAAUUUCAGGAUUUCUUUGUAUAUUCUAUAUUUUAAAGUUUGAACUUAUAAGAAUUUUUAUGUUUCGAUGGAUUAA